GUAGUCGUGGCCGAGUAGUUAAGGCGAUGGACUUGCAUUCUAUUGAGAUUAUCCCCGCGCAGGUUCGAAUCCUGUCGACUACG